GUGAGCUGGAGAGGGGAGGACUAGGUGUGGGAAACAGUGAAUACUGAGUCAGAGUGAAAAAAGAGUCUUCAAGUGUCCUCCCCAGUGAGGAGACCUCCGCAGAAUGCCCCGAUGAUGAGACCUCCUCUCUCUGAAUGCAGGGAGGGCUGGAGAUGCAGAUAUGCAUAAGCGCAUGGUGCUGAGGAUGGAGUGACUGAGUCCUUGACUGCAGCUCCCUUCAGAGAUUGCAGUUUCCUGGUUGCACACAGUCUGGUGUGGGGAGGACAACUUUUCCCUGUGAAGCCUGCCAGGAUAUAAAGAUGUUUAAUUGGAUAACCUUAUUCAUUCAGCUGUGAUCUGCGGAAGGAUCUGAACAGCCAGUAAUAUGGUUAUGUUCAUUCUGAAUAAAUUAAUGAUGCUGAAGAGUCAAGAUUGAGAUUGCAACCAGAUACCUGUGCUGAGAUGUCUAUGCAGAAGAGUCUGAGGUUAGCCUCCCGGAGUUUCGGGGAAAAGCACACAGGCAUUCCUGAACACUCUGAGAGGUGAAGAAAAGUGGCUGAGCAGACAGACGCGAGGUCUGGCAUGGAGGCAGAGGAUCACAGCGGAGCAUGGACCUAACAGCUGGAUACUGUGUGGGGAUAUCACUAUCAGCAGAAGAUGCAACAAGACCGGGCCAGCGCUCAAGGCCAGAGAGAGAGGUUUGCAGGGGCCAGUGGGGCAGCGAUGAGCAUAGAAGACAGUCUUCUCCACUUUGAUAACAAAGCAAUGUGAAAGGCACCUGAGAAACCCAGAUUACAACCAGGGAGAAGAAAAUCAGAGAUACAAGGUGGGAUGCAUCCUGAAUUGGUAGAGUAGAUACGCCAGAGUGUUCUACCAGAGUUGACAGAAUUACCUUGAAUAAAUAAGAGGAAGGUAUUUUAUUACCAAGAGUCUCAUGGGCUAAGUUUAAAUACAGAGGAAUAAAGUUACAUCUUUACACAGUUGGGUGUGUGACAAUGUAAAAUGUCAACAUUAUACUUCCCAAUGGACUAUACCAUGCAGAAGGGAGAAAGAAGUCAAAAGCCUGUUCUUUUUUUUUUUUCUGUUCCACAGUAAAUAGCAGAAAUUAUUCCCUUUGUUAAUCUAAGCAUACACCAGUCUGUAGGUUCAUAAUGAGAAAUAACUUUUUGAUUUUUUUAA